GUGCUCGCUUCGGCAGCACAUAUACUACACGCGGAAUGAUACAGAGAAUAUUAGCAAGGCCCCUGCACAGAUGAGGAUGCUAGGUUUUAGGGAAGUAAAAUUCGG